AAGUGUGUACAAUGGAGGAAUUGCGUAAAAGAUUGUAUUCUUGUCAAUUUUAGAAGUCCUUCCACCGGACAAAGCCACGAGCGCAGCAACAAGACCUGCAUUUCCUGCAAUGGUUGGCUCUGUGUAAUUGUAAUUGGCACGCAUAUCCUGGAAGCCGUCAUGUUGGUCAGGGCCCCCAACCAUGGCUCCAACAAUGGUAUUUGGAUUUGUUCUUCGACUGUCUCUCCAUUUCCACCCUCCUCUACAGCCAUACUUUACCUUUCCGUAUGGAAUUGAAGCUCCUCUAUGAUGUACUCGCUGUGGAAAAUAAUUGCCAUAGCCUACGAUGUAGCUCAUAGCCCGAGGAUUUUUACCAAGGAUGUAAUCAAUCUGGCUUCUUGCGAAGUCGCGCAAAGCUUCGUUCGUGUAAAAUUCAGGUCCGCAUUGCCAUCCUGAUAUCAAUUCACCUUCAAGAUAAUCACUGUAAAGGGUAGCCGAGAAAGCUGCAUUCACCACGUAUUGAAGAGGCUGGGGUCUUCCCUGGUUUAGUUGGAUCAUUCCUCCUUUGGUUCGGUUGAAGGUUGGGAAAACGGGUAGGUAUGAGCACAUGAUAUCAUCUAUAUUGUUUUGAAAUGUUCGCAGCAUUUCUUCAUAUGGGUAGCCGUAACCCAAAAAAAUUCUCAUACGGCUUAGAAGCAACUGAGCGCCAGCAUGCUUGUUGUCCCAGCUAAGCACCCCCUUACUAGGGCCUCCCCAGAAAGCAUAGUCUUUUUUGGCCAAUUUAGGUGUGGUAGCAAGUUGAAGGUAGGAAGAAUUUCCAGUUGCACAGUACAGCCAAGCUCCACCCCAAACAAACUCAUCCCAAAAACCACUAGAAUUAUAAAAAUGUGAGGGUGGAUCUGGAGUGCCUGAAUAGUUUUCACCUUGACCUUUCGUGGCAAACUUGAACAGUAUUUCUGCACCAUGGACAAGUUUCUUCGAGUAGUCUUCAGUGUCCUUGAACACAAUGGAUGCAGCAGCUAAUGCAGCAGCAGCUUCUGCAGCCAAUGCUGGACAGUUGUAACAUUGGUUUGCGCUACGGUGUUUUUUAUCAUCGAAGUCAAUAUCCUCAGGUCGCAUCCAACAAUAUUGAUCACGUUCUCCUCCAACUUGUGCAGCAAUACUGGUUAUUGAGUCCUUGGAUGAGGAAUUGAAGGUUUUGAGAAGGUAGUCAGUGCCCCACUUGAUGAUGUCUUUGACGUGAUCUAGCUCUCCAGCAGCUUCAUAUUUU
rnacentral:misc_RNA from 1 species